UACGGGAGGCAGCAGUGAGGAAUAUUGGUCAAUGGGCGAGAGCCUGAACCAGCCAAGUAGCGUGCAGGAUGACGGCCCUAUGGGUUGUAAACUGCUUUUAUAUGGGGAUAAAGUUAGUUACGUGUAAAUAUUUGCAGGUCCCAUAAGAAUAAGCCCCGGAUAAUUCCGCCCCCGCAGCCGGGGUAAUACGGAAGGUCCAGGUUUUUUCGGGAUUUAGGGGGUAAAAAGGGAGUGUAGGCUUUUUUAUUAAGCGUGUUGAAAUACGUAGAUGCUUAACAUGUGAAUUGCAGCGCGAACUGGAAGACUUGAGUGCGAGAGGGGUAGGCGGAAUUCGUCGUGUAGCGGUAAAAUGCUUAGAUAUGAAGAAGAACUCCGAUUGAAAAGGCAGCUUACCGCAGCGCCACUGACGGUGAUGCUAAAAGGUGGGGGUAACACACGGGAUUAGACCCCCUGGUUGUCCGCACAAUAAACGAUGGAUGCGCGCUGUUCGGCCUUACGCCCGGUGGCCCAG
rnacentral:rRNA from 1 species